rnacentral:rRNA from 1 species
GCUAGCGGCAGGCUUAAUACAUGCAAGUCGUGGGGCAGCAGGUUUGUAGCAAUACAGAUGCUGGCGACCGGCAAACGGGUGCGGAACACGUACGCAACCUCCCUCUAACUGGAAGGUAGCCCAUCGAAAGGUGGAUUAAUACUCCAUAUUAUAUUGAAGUGGCAUCACUUUAAUAUUAAAGCUCCGGCGGUAAGAGAUGGGCGUGCGUCUGAUUAGGUAGUUGGCGGGGUAACGGCCCACCAAGCCUACGAUCAGUAGCUGAUGUGAGAGCAUGAUCAGCCACACGGGCACUGAGACACGGGCCCGACUCCUACGGGAGGCAGCAGUAAGGAAUAUUGGUCAAUGGACGCAAGUCUGAACCAGCCAUGCCGCGUGGAGGAUGACGGUCCUCUGGAUUGUAAACUUCUUUUCUCUGAGACGAAACCCUCGAUUUCCAUCGAGCCUGACGGUACCAGAGGAAUAAGCACCGGCUAACUCCGUGCCAGCAGCCGCGGUAAUACGGAGGGUGCAAGCGUUAUCCGGAUUCACUGGGUUUAAAGGGUGCGUAGGUGGGCAGGUAAGUCGGUGGUGAAAUCUCUGGGCUUAACCCGGAAACUGCCAUUGAUACUAUUUGUCUUGAAUUCUCUGGAGGUAAGCGGAAUAUGUCAUGUAGCGGUGAAAUGCUUAGAUAUGACAUAGA